rnacentral:misc_RNA from 1 species
CUGAGUUAUCUAAACUCCAAAACCCUUUGUGAACCUUACCGCCGUUGCCUCGGCGUGAGCUGCGGCUACCCUGUAGCCGGCUUACGGCCCGCCGAAGGACAGCUAAACUCUUGUUAACUACCAUUAUAUCUCUGAAUUAUUGACUAAAUAAGUUA